CUGGCUGCAAACUGCGGAAUGGAUUUCCUGAACGGAGGUGUGUCUCAAUAAGACACAGGGAUAAAACACGCCCCCAUUCUGGGAAUCCAUUCCGUAGUUUGCAGCCAG